UGAAAUUGCAAAAUUAAUCCGAGCAUCCUUCAAUGGAUUGAGAGACUAGUAUGUGAUGGAAGAAAGAAAAGCAAAAGCGAGUCUGUCUCCUCUUUGUUGCAGCCGACCUCUCCUAAGAAAACAAAAGAUAAGUCAAGAGACCUAGUGUCAAUUGACUUCUUCCUAUGACUAAUCAGCUGCAACCAAAAAGAAAGGAAAUCUACUAAUUGGUAACUUUCUUAUUCUUAUUAAACCACUAUUGUCAAUUCAAAUCAAACAAUCAACUGAUGAAAUAUUUGCAGCCCUACGUUGCACUUCCAAUUGUCAGUUGGAUAUCACGCAUUAUUCCCGAAUUUCCUGGAGACGCUAAGUCUUGAGUAGAAUGCGGCCGCGUCAAAUAGCAAAUGUAGUGAGGAAGAAUUUGCACCUUUUUACCACUCUUUGUUCCAACUCCCUGCGAUUAGCACAAAUUUCCAAAAGUGAAUAGAAUCCACUAAUUAAUACACAUUUGGUAAGAUAAUAAGAGGGAAAGAAUUGUAAAAUUAAUGAAAAAAUUACGAUCUAUCAAUUCUUCCCACACCUAGACCAUGCUUGUCCUCAAGCAUGAGAACAACAAACUAGCACCAACUUCCAACAAUGGUUAUCACUCCAUCUGCCUAUUGCCAAAAUAUCAUGAAAACACACAUCAAGCAUCAAUGGCCAAGGAACAAGGAAUAUCUCCUCAGUUAGCUUCUAAGCCAUAGACUUCUCCAAUUUAUAGCUAACUAAUCUAAGAAGAGAGAAUGUGUGAUCAACAUUUAACAGCAAAUGGUUUAACUAUUAAUCAAAAUCUCAACAUUAAACCCAUGGAUCGGUGAACUAUUUUAGUCAUUGCAUACUUACACAAUUUUCACAACUCUCUCUCUCUCUUUUUAUUUGUUUUUCAUUUUUUUAAUUGAACAUAUUUAAUCUUUAGCCAUUAAAGCCUUUUGACAUGAAUUCUAACAUUUGUCAGAUGAAUGAACCUAGUUACUCAACUCCCAUCGCUAUAAGAUCACGUACUCAUAGGUAUCACUACUUUUUGACGCGAGUAUCGAUACUUUUGAUGAGGAUCCCCGGUUACUAGGUAGUGAUAACCAGCGGAGUACUAUCAACAUUAUUCAUAACCAGACAACCAAAUAACUCAAGAAAUCACAUAAAGUAACACCAGCUUGCUUCAUUUUCUCAAACAUAAUUUUAGACAUUCACCAAAGAGAUAUUUCUGGACUUAACCAUAUUGCACUUGAUACACUCUCAUCACUAAGACUUGGCAAUAGGAAAAUUAGAAUCAGCCAACCAUUGUCAAUCCUUGGUAAUCAUAGAAAUGCUAACCAAUAAUAAAAGUAAAAAAUAAAAGGAAAACAUAAAAAUAAUAAAAAAAAAAGGAAAAAAACCUUAAAAAGAACAAUACCAACUGUACCACAGCUCCUCCCUACACCUGAAUCUAAUAUUGUCCUCAAUGGAAGCCAUAACGUAAAAAAAAAUAACCAGGACAACGAAACUUCCUUGAACAUGUGGUGGAGGGUCUGGAGCAGCUAUAGAAUAGGUGGGAAUGGCGGUGUGAAGCCAACGUGGCAGAAGUAGGCUGUCAAAUUUUGGGACAUCUGGGCCACCUGAUCAACAAUAUUAGUCACCUGCCCGUUCAUAUGGUGGACCUGUGCUUGAAAGUGUUGCCACUCAGCAUUAGAUGAUGGCGGUGGAGGAGGCACAGAAGUAGAAGGUCUAGCCGCGUCAUCGGCCACUUUAGAAGCAGAAGAGGGACCUGCACGUGUAGAAGAGCGCUGGCCUAGUGCUCGAAUGGGCCCUGGGAGUGUAAAUCAAAAUAUACCAUCAAUAUCCUCUACAAUUCCCAUUUUUUCUAGACAAACCACAUCUAAAAAUUUCAUGUCACAGGCCAAAUAUAGAUCAUGGCUCUGAAGAUUAAGAACUUCUAAAUGAACUGUCAAGUGUGUGAUAUACGACCCAAGAAUCAACGGAUUAUUUUUUUUGGCCAAGACUAUCUUAAACUGAGAAGCUAGCCAACAAUCCAAAUUCACCUUAACAUUCUGCUUCAUACACCAAAUAAAGAAGAACUCGGGCCUAAAAAAUGUACUGGAACUAUCUUUUCUACCCGAGUAACUAUAGAUUGAAAAUCACUAAACAUAAUGAGAACUUGGAUUCUUGAGAUAAGAACUCUUAGACCUGCUAAGAUCAUAACGGUUCCUGUCGACUGAUAUUUCCCUCCAAAUAUCGGGAUAAUGAGAGAAAAAUGGUUCUAUGUAGUCACAAGCACUCUCAGUGUACUCUCUAGAUUUAGCAUACUAUCGAUCAAUUAACCCAAAGGCUAAAUUGAACUCAGUAAUGGAGAAACUGAACUCCUGACCAAUUAAACGAAAUCAAAUUACAUUCGGGGUAGUGACAAUAUAUCCCGCGGGCAAUUCGAACUCAAAAGUAGCAUAAAACUCUCUAACUAGUUCAACAAAAGUAGGCAAUAAAUUUCAGCAAAAGAUCUCCACCCAAUGGCUGAAAACAUCCACUUAAUCUCAUCCCGAAUGCCCAAGGCACCCAUGAUAAGCUUGUUAAGGCAUUUACAAAGGAUAAUUCGUCGCUCACAAUACAUAGCGUAUCUUUGUUUAUCGGUGGCUUUAGUGAAAUUCAAAUGACCCCCAAAGUGCGAGAGUGUAGAAACAUGGACAUCCUUACCCCUACCUAGAUGUGUCCUUACACCUAAAGAAGACGGAUGGUUGGUAGAUUCAUUCACAGGGAUGAUAGGUUGGGGUAUAGUAGACUAAACUUUAGGAGUUUUAUUUUUAGAAGUGGACUUUUGCUUAACUAUUGUCUCUACCAAGCAACUUAAUCAAACGACUACCCAAUCAAGGUAGCAUUUAACCAAUACUCAUGUUAUCAAGCACCCAAGCCAGGUACCUCACAAUGAACCGAAGACCCGCCAAAAAUAUCAAUCAAGCAAACUAGAUCUAUCAGCCAUGUCCAUCAAAUCAGCAAUUAAUUCAAUAAGCAUUGUCGUUGCUUAAUUGAACAUAUAAAUGCGCAAUUCGCCCAACCACAAAUUCAGUAGAGGCUCAAAUAUUUCAGCAAUUUAAAUCAACGGUCAAAUGGCACCAAGAAUUCAGCAAAAUAAUGUAGCAGGGACCCGUAAACCGAUAUUUAACACAGAACCCAAAAUCUUUGCCCAAUUCAGUCUAGAAAUCUAUUCCAGAAGUAGUACUCCCAAAAAUAAGUAAUUGACUCUAGCAAGUCAGCUAAGUAAUUGGGAAAACUAAAUACCUCCUUUUACUCAAACCAAUAUUAGAGAUGCCAAGCAAACAGCGAGAUUGGAGAUGGCUGUGGGUGGUGGUAGCGCGCGACGAACGAUCGGAGAGAGAG
rnacentral:lncRNA from 1 species